AACCUUCGGUGCCUUGAGUUCAAC
rnacentral:siRNA from 1 species